AGUAUAGGGUCAGUUUAAGUUGGUGCAAUAAGUAGGAGGUUAAAAUGGGGCUAGUUACAGGAGGACUACCUUUUGUAUAAGGGGAUCAGGAUGAUAGGUCUUAGGUGUUAACCCCAAUUCACAGGAGAUUUAGUCACAAUUUUGGGGAAGAUUCCAGGAUUAGUGUUUAAAGUAGUGAGAUGUUGACGACUGUGAUAUAGGUGGAGGUACGAGUCAGGUAAGCUGACGGGUUGUUCUUGGUGUUCGGAGUUGAUGAAAAAUAGUUGUAAUAUCAUUUUGUUACAAAUAUUUGAGCGGGUAAAGAAUUUCGAGCAUUGAGAUGAGGAAAUUGCGUGAAUUUUCUUAUGGAAACCAUCUGGUUAUUAGUAAGUGGGGCUUAUUAGUGGACAAGUUAGGAGUUGUUUUGUGGACUCGAUCUCCAAGCAAAUGUUUAGUAAAAACAUUUCUCAUUAAAUGGUGAGUAGCCCCUGCCCAAUGAGAUUUUAAUGGCCGCAGUAAGUUGACUGUGCUAAGGUAGCAUAAUAAAUAGGUUGUUGAAUGUGAUCUGGUAUGAAUGGGGGGAUGACUUGGAAGUGGUGCUGAACAACAUGUGAAGUUGUGAGCAAGUGAAAAUACUUGUGGAGUAAAAAGACGGAAAGACCCCGGAAGCUUGACAAUUUGGUUGUUUUAUUGGGGUAAUAUUUGGAAAGCAGAGUUCCAGAUUUGGAGUUACUCCGGGGAUAACAGGACAAUCAUUUUAAUAAGAUGGAUUGUUACCUCGAUGUUGGAUCAUCCUUGAGUGAGUCUGUUCGACUUAGGUGGUUACGUGAUCUGAGUUUAGAUCGGCGUGAGCCAGAUCGGUUCUUAUCUUGCAUGAGGCUUUUGUGGUACGAAAGGGAACGGAGGCCGUAAUAAUUAUUGU
rnacentral:rRNA from 1 species